GCCUUUAUCUCUUCCAGUGAUCCACAGACUUGAUGAAAUCAGUUCGGGCCUCAGAGAGAAGAUGAAUUGUAAGCAAAAUUCAAAAAUCACGAUUCUGGGGAAAAAGACCCCCAAAUCCAGAGCCCUGUAGUACCAGCCCUGCUAGUUCAACUGAAGGCUGCAGCAUGCCCUGAUCUAAACGGGAAAACACAACAAGGAAAAUAUCAGAAGCACAAGCCAGAGCUGUUGUCCUCCUUACUCAUCCACUCAUCCAUCAAGAUAAGUCAGCACAUACAGUAUCUCUUCGUUUCCAGCAUCGUCCCCAUUAUCCACUACUUCCUCCCAACCGCGCUUUCUAAACUGCUGAGGAUGGAAGAGAAAGCAGACUGGACUUGCAGUAUACAUUUCACACUCUCAUCCAACAAGCAACUUAGCCGCUGACACACUGCCAGCUGGUCCCAUCAAGUCAGGUGGCAUGGGUCACCCAACAAGCUGCCUGUUGGAAUAGCUGGCUGUUACAUAGCCUGUUAAGAACCAGGCGAACAAGACCACCAAAAUGUGGCAGCUGCUGUCCAGACAAGACACCUUCAGGCAGAGCUGGGUGCAGCCCGGUGACUCGUGCAGACAACAUCUGGGUUUUAGUUGGAAGACGGCCUCUGCAUUGGAUGAAGCUCUUCCCACAGAAUGGCCUCUUCUCUGGUCUGGAAUCUGCUAGGACUCCAUCUUCCCACACUGGGUCCAUGCAUGGUGUCCAGAAGAUCAAAUCCUAUAUGUUGGAGUGUAUGCGUUCUGGAUAAGUUACGGAAAAGGCACAAGGAGGCAGAGGGACCCGAGGUCCCAGGACCUCAGACACAAGAACUGAUUUCUUAGCAGUGUAGCUGGUCUGUUUCAACAUAGGUAUCAGUUUUGGUGUUCUGUUUUCUCACAGCACCCCCACCAGUAAUGAAAGACUGGGCUAUUGUAGGGAACUCACACUGUGAUUGUGGAAGAGGGCUAUCCCACAGCCUCUGUGAACAUCAAGAAGACAAGGUUCUCUCAGGAACUUCUUUUGAGGGUCAGUGAGACAUUGGGGAAAUAUAAAAUACCGGACAAUGCUUCCUUCUCACCACAAUACAUUUCUGGAAGCCACAUGGAAAAUCCUAAAAUUGAUCUUCCCCGUGGGAUCUGUGUUAUAAUUGGACACUGCAUUCUUGACCAGAGACUUGGCAUCAGAUAAAUCACAGAUACUAAAUAUGUCACAGAGACAAGGACUCACAGUUUAAGGCAGUUGAGUUCUUAAACUCAGCUGAGCAUCAGAAUUGUCAAAGGAGAUUGAAUAAGAAAUACUGAUGCCUAGGUCCCAUCUGGAACCAGAUGAAGCCAGAUUUCCAUGGGUGGGUCCAGGUAACCAUUUAAAAAAAUAAUUUAGAGCUUUGUAUUUUGACUUAUCAAGAACCAAGAACAAAUAUAGGGAAAAAGUGUCAUCGGCACUUAAAAUAUUAGAAGGAGCCACACGGGAAAACAUGACAAGGGAGGAGGAAACUGCUGUCGUCACAUUUACUGUUAAAAACUGCAGCAAAUAAGAACAGUUUGGAUGAGAGAAGAAAAGGACAAGUCAAUUUUGAUUCUCUAAGGAGAAAGUCAGACCACCCCACCCCAUUUGAACAGUGAACCAUUGCUUUCUGUAUCCACGGUCCAAGGCUGACCUUGUCAGGGUACCAAUUCCUAAAGCUGACUGCAGAUGCCCUGUGGAUGGCUACCUUCCUCUCUGUGAUGGACUGCACCCUUGAGCCAGCCCAAAGAAACACUUCUUUCCCUGAGUCACAUUCACCGGGCAUUUUUUCACAGCAAAGAGGAAAGUGACUAACACAAGUUGUUACCCCAUUUCUGCUAGAUCUGGGCUCCUUUCAUUAGUCAACAUGACAUGGAUUGAACACCCACUCUGCCCUACUACUGAUCUACAAUGAAGGUGCCGGAACAAGGAAGUUAUGGGAACAAGACAGAGUUGGUUCAAAGAGAUGAUCGACAACAGCGCAGACAUGAAUGAGCAGGAUAAUGCAUGAUGACAGCCCAGUGAAGACCAUAAAGCAGAGGAUCCGGGGGCCAAGGAGAAUAUGUCUGCCCUGUGGUCAGGGAGGUCAACUUUUGGGGAAGUAUUUAACAUUGUCCCUGAGGCCUGUGCUUUGAAUCUUCUUGGCCCAUUUCUUAAUAUCAUGGCUCUCAUGACUUGAUCUUAGUGCCUUUCCUCCGCCAUUUCAGCUGUAGGACCCCAGGAAGGCUUCUCAGAGCCUCCCACAGCAAGCCAUAUGCUAUCCUACUACUUAUAAACCCACACUCUAUAAUGGUCCUUCACUCUGGCACCUCAUUAUAGAAAGUAGGAUGAAGUUGGCACCGAGAAUGAUUCCUAUUUGCUUCAGCCACAGUAAUCUCUUCAUUUUCUAAGACUUCAGUUAUGUGUGUUCAAUCAUCAUGGGAAAAUAUUGAAAAGAAAAUUAUUAGAAAUAAGCAGUUUAUUAAUUUAAGUGACUUUUAUUAUAGCAUUUUGUUAUAUGGCUCUACUUUGUUAUUAGUUGUUGGUAAUCAUUUACUAUGCUUUAUAAAUUAUUUGUCAAUAUUAAUAUUUGUUUAUAGGAGAAAAGAGUGCAUAUAGGAUUUGAUGCUAUCUGGGUUUCAAGCAUUCACUGGGGGUCUGGGAAUGGAUCCUCUGAGAUAAAAGGGGCAUGUCUCUUUUAAUACGCAUAAGGUUUACACUGCAGUACUGCUAAGUUCACUUUACUAUUUGGGACUCUGCUGAAAUUAUCUCUUUGCAGAGGAAGAGUAUCUCACCACCCACAUCAGCUUCCUCCUUCACCCAGAACAGAUUCCCAGAAAAUAAAAGUUCCUAAGACUGUUCUAGAAAGUUCAGAGACACAGAUGAGAACUUUGCUCUUUAAUCAUGCUUCAGGAAUGCAGGUGUUAUCUGUACACACUAUUAUCAAUUGUCUUUGAGAUCGCUGGCUAGAGUAAGCUUGGUCAUGAUUUCUAAUCAUUAGAGAUAGGUUGGGAGUUUUCAAUUCAUUUAUUCUCUUUAUUGUAGCUAAUUGAAGAAUACGUUGCCUUUGGAUUCAAAUAGCCAUUACUGGUUCUCUUUGCCAAGCCCUAUGCAAGACAUAUCUCCUUGGGAUUUUGUGAUGGCUUAGUGCUCUGUGUCAGGGAUAGAGAGGUGAGGCUCAGGUGAAUUAAGGGCUAGCUCAAAGUCAAA
ensembl:lncRNA LOC103691652 uncharacterized LOC103691652